UCCCAGGCAGGUUUUAUACCCAAUAGAAGC
rnacentral:piRNA from 1 species